rnacentral:rRNA from 1 species
GCCUACGGGGGGCAGCAGUAGGGAAUCUUCCACAAUGGGCGAAAGCCUGCUGGAGCAACGCCGCGUGGGUGAAGAAGGUCUUCGGAUCGUAAGACCCUGUUGUUAGAGAAGAAAGUGCGUGAGAGUAACUGUUCCCGUUUCGACGGUAUCUAACCAGAAAGCCACGGCUAACUACGUGCCAGCAGCCGCGGUAAUACGUAGGUGGCAAGCGUUAUCCGGAUUUAUGGGGCGUAAAGGGAACGCAGGGGGUCUUUUUAGUCUGUUGUAAAAACCUUCGGCUACACCGGAGUGGGGCUU